AAAUGACUUUUGAACUUAGUGGCGGACGGGUGAGUAACGCGUGAGGAACCUGCCUUUCAGAGGGGGACAACAGUUGGAAACAACUGCUAAUACCGCAUAACAUAUAGAUGUCGCAUGGCAUUUAUAUCAAAGAUUUAUCGCUGAAAGAUGGCCUCGCGUCUGAUUAGCUAGUUGGUGAGAUAACAGCCCACCAAGGCGACGAUCGGUAGCCGACCUGAGAGGGUGAUCGGCCACAUUGGAACUGAGAGACGGUCCAGACUCC
rnacentral:rRNA from 1 species